ensembl:misc_RNA Metazoa_SRP Metazoan signal recognition particle RNA
GCCGGGUGUGGUGGUGCACACCUGCAGUCCCAGCUACUCAGGAGGCUGAGGCAGAGGAAUCGCUUGAACCCGGGAGGCAGAGGUUGCAGUGAGCCAAGAUCAUGCCGUUGCACUCCAGCCCGGGUGACAGAGCGAGACUCUGUCUCCA